AUUCUGCCCAAGCGGGGAAGGAUGAGAAGCUUCGACUAAGGUUCGACUCGAGCGCCAGCGAGAGAGCGUUGCCGCAGGCAACGACCCGAAGGGCGAAGCGCGCACCGCUGAGUAAUCCUUCCCCCACCACCA
rnacentral:sRNA from 1 species